GACGAACGCUGGCGGCAUGCCUAAUACAUGCAAGUCGAGCGGAGUUGUGAUGGAGCUUGCUCCUGAUUAACUUAGCGGCGGACGGGUGAGUAACACGUAGGCAACCUGCCCUCAAGACUGGGAUAACUACCGGAAACGGUAGCUAAUACCGGAUAAUUUCUUUCCUCUCCUGAAGAGAGAAUGAAAGGCGGAGCAAUCUGCUACUUGGGGAUGGGCCUGCGGCGCAUUAGCUAGUUGGUGGGGUAACGGCUCACCAAGGCGACGAUGCGUAGCCGACCUGAGAGGGUGAACGGCCACACUGGGACUGAGACACGGCCCAG
rnacentral:rRNA from 1 species